rnacentral:rRNA from 1 species
UACGUAGGGUGCGAGCAUUGUCCGGAAUUAUUGGGCGUAAAGAGCUCGUAGGCGGCUUGUCGCGUCGGAUGUGAAAGCCCGGGGCUUAACCCCGGGUCUGCAUUCGAUACGGGCAGGCUAGAGUUCGGUAGGGGAGAUCGGAAUUCCUGGUGUAGCGGUGAAAUGCGCAGAUAUCAGGAGGAACACCGGUGGCGAAGGCAGGUCUCUGGGCCACUACUGACGCUGAGAAGCGAAAGCAUGGGGAGCGAACAGG